rnacentral:rRNA from 1 species
GAUGAACGCUGGCGGCGUGCCUAAUACAUGCAAGUCGAGCGAACGGACGAGAAGCUUGCUUCUCUGAUGUUAGCGGCGGACGGGUGAGUAACACGUGGAUAACCUACCUAUAAGACUGGGAUAACUUCGGGAAACCGGAGCUAAUACCGGAUAAUAUUUUGAACCGCAUGGUUCAAAAGUGAAAGACGGUCUUGCUGUCACUUAUAGAUGGAUCCGCGCUGCAUUAGCUAGUUGGUAAGGUAACGGCUUACCAAGGCAACGAUGCAUAGCCGACCUGAGAGGGUGAUCGGCCACACUGGAACUGAGACACGGUCCAGACUCCUACGGGAGGCAGCAGUAGGGAAUCUUCCGCAAUGGGCGAAAGCCUGACGGAGCAACGCCGCGUGAGUGAUGAAGGUCUUCGGAUCGUAAAACUCUGUUAUUAGGGAAGAACAUAUGUGUAAGUAACUGUGCACAUCUUGACGGUACCUAAUCAGAAAGCCACGGCUAACUACGUGCCAGCAGCCGCGGUAAUACGUAGGUGGCAAGCGUUAUCCGGAAUUAUUGGGCGUAAAGCGCGCGUAGGCGGUUUUUUAAGUCUGAUGUGAAAGCCCACGGCUCAACCGUGGAGGGUCAUUGGAAACUGGAAAACUUGAGUGCAGAAGAGGAAAGUGGAAUUCCAUGUGUAGCGGUGAAAUGCGCAGAGAUAUGGAGGAACACCAGUGGCGAAGGCGACUUUCUGGUCUGUAACUGACGCUGAUGUGCGAAAGCGUGGGGAUCAAACAGGAUUAGAUACCCUGGUAGUCCACGCCGUAAACGAUGAGUGCUAAGUGUUAGGGGGUUUCCGCCCCUUAGUGCUGCAGCUAACGCAUUAAGCACUCCGCCUGGGGAGUACGACCGCAAGGUUGAAACUCAAAGGAAUUGACGGGGACCCGCACAAGCGGUGGAGCAUGUGGUUCAAUUCGAAGCAACGCGAAGAACCUUACCAAAUCUUGACAUCCUUUGACAACUCUAGAGAUAGAGCUUUCCCCUUCGGGGGACAAAGUGACAGGUGGUGCAUGGUUGUCGUCAGCUCGUGUCGUGAGAUGUUGGGUUAAGUCCCGCAACGAGCGCAACCCUUAAGCUUAGUUGCCAUCAUUAAGUUGGGCACUCUAAGUUGACUGCCGGUGACAAACCGGAGGAAGGUGGGGAUGACGUCAAAUCAUCAUGCCCCUUAUGAUUUGGGCUACACACGUGCUACAAUGGACAAUACAAAGGGCAGCGAAACCGUGAGGUCAAGCAAAUCCCAUAAAGUUGUUCUCAGUUCGGAUUGUAGUCUGCAACUCGACUACAUGAAGCUGGAAUCGCUAGUAAUCGUAGAUCAGCAUGCUACGGUGAAUACGUUCCCGGGUCU